GCACAAUGGGCGCAAGCCUGAUGCAGCCAUGCCGCGUGUAUGAAGAAGGCCUUCGGGUUGUAAAGUACUUUCAGCAGUGAAGGAAGGUGGGUUAUGUUAAUAGCAUAACUCAUUUGACGUUAGCUGCCAGAAGAAGCACCGGCUAACUCCGUGCCCAGCAGCCGCGGUAAUACGGAGGGUGCGAGCCGUUAAUCGGAAUUACUGGGCGUAAAGCGCAUGCAGGUGGUUUGUUAAGUCAGAUGUGAAAGCCCCGGGGCUCAACCUCGGAAUUGCAUUUGAAACUGGCAAACUAGAGUACUGUAGAGGGGGUAGAAUUUCAGGUGUAGCGGUGAAAUGCGUAGAGAUCUGAAGGAAUACCCGGUGGCGAAGGCGGCCCCCCUGGACAGAUACUGACACUCAGAUGCGAAAGCGUGGGGAGCAAACAGGAUUAGAUACCCUGGUAG
rnacentral:rRNA from 1 species